GUUUCUAUAGUUGAAUAACAACGAUG
rnacentral:tRNA from 1 species